rnacentral:rRNA from 1 species
UACGAAGGGGGCUAGCGUUGUUCGGAAUUACUGGGCGUAAAGCGUGCGCAGGCGGCCAUCCAAGUCAGUGGUGAAAACCCGGAGCUCAACUCCGGAAUUGCCAUUGAAACUGUUUGGCUCGAGUACGAGAGAGGUGAGUGGAAUCCCAGUGUAGAGGUGAAAUUCGUAGAUAUUGGGAAGAACACCGGUGGCGAAGGCGGCUCACUGGCUCGUAACUGACGCUCAUGCACGACAGCCGUGGGGGAAGCCAAAGGG